CCUACGGGCGGCAGCAGUGAGGAAUAUUGGUCAAUGGCCGUAAGGCUGAACCAGCCAAGUCGCGUGAAGGAAGAAGGAUCUCUGGUUUGUAAACUUCUUUUAUAGGGGAAUAAAGGUAUCCACGUGUGGAUAGUUGCAUGUACCCUAUGAAUAAGCAUCGGCUAACUCCGUGCCAGCAGCCGCGGUAAUACGGAGGAUGCGAGCGUUAUCCGGAUUUAUUGGGUUUAAAGGGUGCGUAGGUGGUUUUUUAAGUCAGCGGUGAAAGUUUGUGGCUCAACCAUAAAAUUGCCGUUGAAACUGGAAGGCUUGAGUGUGGUUGAGGUAGGCGGAAUGCGUGGUGUAGCGGUGAAAUGCAUAGAUAUCACGCAGAACUCCGAUUGCGAAGGCAGCUUACUAAGCCAUAACUGACGCUGAAGCACGAAAGCGUGGGGAUCAAACAGGAUUAGAUACCCGAGUAGUC
rnacentral:rRNA from 1 species